UAGUUUCGGGUCUGUUUUGGCCCAGUCUGUUUUGAAAAGUCUGACCCAUUCGAUAUAGGGGUCAGAGGGUUCUAGAAACAGACAAUUAAUUCAUUUGUUCAUUUUGAUCAAUUCAAAAAAGAAAUUUUCUCUCUCUCUCUUCUUCAUCUCCGAUCCUCCAUGUUCACAGAGUCCUCGUUGUUGCACGGAAGAAAUAUUUGAAGCGAUUAAAAAGGUGAAGAAUUUGGGCAUUUCUGG
rnacentral:lncRNA from 1 species